ACGGAGGGGGCUAGCGUUGUUCGGAAUUACUGGGCGUAAAGCGCACGUAGGCGGCUAUUCAAGUCAGAGGUGAAAGCCCGGGGCUCAACCCCGGAACUGCCUUUGAAACUAGAUAGCUUGAAUCACGGAGAGGUGGGUGGAAUUCCGAGUGUAGAGGUGAAAUUCGUAGAUAUUCGGAAGAACACCUGUGGCGAAAGCGGCGCACUGGACCACAACUGACGCUGAGGCGCGAAAGCUAGGGGAGCAAACAGGA
rnacentral:rRNA from 1 species